CUCUUCCUGGUUUGGAAAUACCAGUUUUAAUAAUGAUUUAUGAUUAAUAUAAGCAAUUCACAGGUAUGUAUAAACAAUCAUUACAAUAUAUGUGUAUCGAUUCUGAUAAAAAUAGAAUGUAAUUAUUUUUUUUCCCUUUUAUUUUUAACGAUAAAAAAAGUGGAGAGCAAUACCGUUAUCUCCACGCUUAUCGGUGAAAGGUGAAAUUAUUUCUCUAAAUCAGUUCCGGAUCUAGACUUUUUAAAAUUAUUUAUCUUUUUCUAUUCUUAUUUUUGCUAGAUUAUACAUUUGCAAACAUAAAAAUUAUUACAACAAUUUGACAACUUUAUCAAGUAGACAUUUAUUCUUAGUAUGUUUACUAGUUGCCUGCAUUUUGUAGCUGUACAUGAAUUCUGUUUUAAAUACAGAAUAUACAUCUAAAGAUUUUGUUUUCUGUUCAGACAUAUAGUUUGCCUUAUAUAUACAAAACAUUAUAAUUGUAAUCAAAUAAUUAAUUUCAUAGUAUUGUUCAUCAUUUAUUUUAUAACCCCAAACUAAAUUUUUUAAUGUUAGAAUAUUAUUAUUAAUAUUCAGUUUUUCUAAGAGUGUUUUUACUUUUCUCCAGAAAUUAUCAAGAAAGUGACAUGUUAGAAACAUGUGAUCAUAAUCCUCUGUGGUGUUGCAAUAAUGACAAUUUGAAAUAUCGCAUAUCUUCCACUUUUUUAAUAAAAUUUUACAAGGUAAAAUAAAGUGUAGCAAUUUCCAACGGAACACUUUGUAUUUAUUAUCUUUUAAAAAAUAAUGAACAAACUUUAACAUAUUACAUGAAAGACUCUUAAUGUAUACAAGGUUAAGCUUUGUCUUCCAUUUAUAAAAACCAACAGGUAUUUCAAUUUCAUUCUUAAUUAAUAUAUUAUAAAUUUUUCUGGUAUCUACAUUUUCUAAUUUUUCUUUUUUAUUGCAAUUAUCAAUAAUAUGUAUUGCAUAGGGCAUUUUUACUUUAGUUUUCUUUGAAGUUUUCCUGUUUUAAAAUCUUUAACCAUUCUCUUGGAAAAGCUUUCUUUAAUUGGUAAAAUUCUGACAUCCAGUUACUUUUUAUUUUAAGCUUUUGUAAAAUAAAAUUUUCUUCUAUAUUACCAUUUUCAUCAAUGAUGUCAUUAAUAAAGAUAAAAUUACUAUUUAUCCAGUUUUGGAAUAAAAGGCAUUUAUUUUUUAUCUUUAUGAAAACGAUUUCCCCAAAUAACUUCUUGACGUAUAGAUCUAAAGUUUUUUGGCUGUUGUACUUUUUUAUUAGUUAUCCAUGCUUUAACAAUGUUGAAAUAAAAUUUUGGCAGCUCCUCCUUUAACUCUGGAAUAGAGUCAGUGUUAUCAAUAUUCAUGUGAAAGAUAAGGAAAUCUUUUCCAAACUUAUUAAAAUAAAAAAGUGGAAUAAUUUUCCAAUUUUUUAAAUCUCCAUUAAUUAACCUUUUGAUCCACCCAAUUUUGAUAGAUUCUAUAUAUUUAUCUAUGUUAAUCAUUUUUAAACCCCCAUCUAGUUCACCAAAACUUAGUACUGUGCGUUUAACCUUUUCUCUUUUGCUUUUCCAUAAAAAAUUAUAGAUAAUUUUUUUUAAAUUUAACAAUAUAUUCUUUUUCAAUAUGUGAAACAGAUGCUAAAAAGGUAAUGUUUGGUAUGAUCAAUGAUUUGAUAACUGUUAUUUUACCGAUCAUUGUUAAAUGUCUUUUCUCCCAAUUUUUUAUAAUCUUUUCAGACUUUUCUAUUUGUUUUUCUGCAUUUAGUUUUUGGCAUUCAUUUUUGUUACAACCGAAAAAAAUUCCUAAACAUUUCACUGGUUUGUUUGUAAAGUUGAUAUUUUCAUAUUUUUCUUUGCAAUGUUUGUGUUUUCCUAACCAAAUGUCUUCUGUUUUUGAUCUGUUUAAUUUAAGCCCUGAUAAAGUGCCAAAAAUUUCAAUCAUGUUUAAUACUUUUGAAAUGUCUUGUUUUGUUUUUAAAAAAAAGUGUGGUGUCAUCUGCAAGUUGACUGAUUUUUUAAAGAAUGUGUUUUCCCAUCUAUUUUGAUUUCAAAUCCUUUAAUAUUAUUGUCUUGUCUUAUUCUACAUGCUAAUAUCUCGACAGCAAUAACGAAAAUUAAAGCACUGCACGGACAUCCUUGUCUAAUCCCUCGAAAAAUGUUGAGGGGUUCAGAUAUCCACCCAUUAUUGAUCACUGAGCUUUUAAUAUCUGUAUACAUAGUUUUUAUCCAUUUGAGCAUAGAAUCUUGAAAGCCAAAUUUUUUUAAUGCUGAGAACAUGAAAUCCCAUUCUAAAGAGUCGAAUGCUUUUGAAAAGUCUAAAAAAUAAUAAUGCUCCUUCUAUAUUAAAUUUUUCUGCAUAAUCAAUUAUAUCCUGGAUCUGUCUAAUAUUAUAACCUAUAUAUCUAUUUUUACAUACCCAUUUUGAUCUUCAUGGAUAAUUUUUGGUAAGACAUUUUUAAUGCGCUAGCUAAUGAAUAUGCUAUUAAUUUUGUAUCAACAUUUAAUAAAGUUAUUGGUCUAUAGUUAUCUAAACUCAGUGGAUCAUUUUUUUUUAUGGAUAAGAGAGAUAACUCCUAAUUUCUGAGAAGUUGUUAAUUUUACGGUAUAUCAUUUUAAUAAUCAUGGAUAAUUGUUGUUUAAUGACAAAUGCUAAUUUUAAUGCUAAUGGAAUGAUUGCAAUAUUUCAUGAAUUGAAGAAAUGCUAAAUAUGUAUUUUGUAUCUAAUAAUUGUAUCUGUAUAACUUGUAUCGUUUAAUCUAUAUGUGAUGUCUAUUUUAGUUUAUCAAGUAGUUUUAUUUUAUAAUGAUUUCAGAAAUUUCAUGUUAGAUCAUCGAUUUUUUAUAGCGGAGUUUUAUAAGAGAGAGUGAGACUCAUUUUUUAUUAUCUAAUUUCUGAGAAUUUUUGUUGUUAACUCCCCUUUUUUAUAUGAAAAAUUAAAUGUGGAUACAAUGAAUUCUUUUAAUUCUUCCCAAAAUGUUCUAUAAAAUUCUACGCUUAAACCAUCAAUUCCAGGUGCUUUGUUCAAUUUCAUCUUAAAUAGUGAAUCUGUACAUUCAUCUAUAGUUAAUUUUCCUUCCAUAAUAUCACUCUCUUGUGUUGUUAAUUUAUGAUCAAUAUUUGUAUCAUUAAUAUAAUCAUUUAUAGAUUUUAUAUCUGGAUUUGUACUUUUAUAAAUAUCUUUAUAGAAUUCUGUCUCUAAUUGUAAAAUUUUGGAUGAGUCAGUUUGUAUCACUCCUUCUUUAUCUCUUAGUGCAGUUAUAGUUUUUCUUGUUUGUCUAGCUUUUUCUAAACCUAAAAAGAAUUUAGUAUUUUUUUCCCCUUCUUCUACCCAUUGAAUUCGUGACCUGAUUUGAGCUCCUUUUGUUUUUAUUUCAUAUAUUUUCUUUAAUUUAUUCUCAUUGUUAAUUAAUUCUUCAUGAAAAUGCUUUAUUACCUCAUCUUUACAAUGUUUAUUAAUGUUUUCAUUUAAUUUUUUAAUUUUAUUUUCCAAUACAUGUAUUUCACUUAUAUUCUGUUUUGCUUUUCUUUUACAGUAUUCAAUGGUGUAUUCUUUGACCUCAAUUUUGAAUAAGUCCCAAUGGUGUCCAAUAUUUUUGGUAAGUUUUGGAUUGUUUUUAUAUUUAUGAAUUAGGCCAUUUAUUAUGUUUUUAUAUUCAAUAUUAUCCAAAAUGCUGUUAUUAAUUUUAAAAUAUCCUUUCCCUUUUGAUUGUGAUCUCCCUUUCAACUUUAGUGAUAUAGCUUGGUGGUCUGUGUGAGAUAUAAGUGCAGGUCUUAUAUCUGCUGAGUAUAUAUGUGAUCUUAUUUCUGGGCAUAUAAGAAAGAGAUCUAUGCGAGAGGCUUCAUUUAUAUUGUUUUUGCGUCUCCAUGUAAAUUGUGUAUUGUUACUAUGUGUCUCUCUCCAAAUGUCUAUCAACUUUAGUGUUUUAAUUAGAUUUUUUAAACUGUUAACUGGUUUUUGUGUUUUUUUAUUUGUGCUGUAUUUUUUUCUGUCAAUAAUUGAUAGAGUAUCAUUCAUAUCUCCACCAACAAUUACCAUCCCUAAGCUAUUCUCUGAUAUCAUAUCCUUUACUUUUUUGAAAAAAACAUUUCUGUUCUUUG
rnacentral:lncRNA from 1 species